rnacentral:rRNA from 1 species
AUUGAACGCUGGCGGCAGGCCUAACACAUGCAAGUCGAACGGUAACAGGAAGCAGCUUGCUGCUUUGCUGACGAGUGGCGGACGGGUGAGUCAUGUCUGGGAAACUGCCUGAUGGAGGGGGAUAACUACUGGAAACGGUAGCUAAUACCGCAUAACGUCGCAAGCCCAAAGAGGGGGACCUUAGGGCCUCUUGCCAUCGGAUGUGCCCAGAUGGGAUUGGCUAGUAGGUGGGGUAACGGCUCCCCUAGGCGACGAUCCCUAGCUGGUCUGAGAGGAUGACCAGCCACACUGGAACUGAGACACGGUCCAGGCUCCUACGGGAGGCAGCAGUGGGGAAUAUUGCACAAUGGGCGCAAGCCUGAUGCAGCCAUGCCGCGUGUAUGAAGAAGGCCUUCGGGUUGUAAAGUACUUUCAGCGGGGAGGAAGGGAGUAAAGUUAAUACCUUUGCUCAUUGACGUUACCCGCAGAAGAAGCACCGGCUAACUCCGUG